GACAUUCCUAGCUGUUUGCUGUCUUGUAUGGAACUCCAUGUGAUUCACAGCUAAAGGGCUGACACACUUGCUACUGAAGCACCGCGGUCACCUCAGAGAAAUACACGUCCUACCCAGAGCAUUUCAAAAUGCAAAGGCAAGAAGAAGAAGUGGGAGGAGGGACAGAGAAGUCUCCACAGCCUGGAGGAUGAGAUGCUUCAGACAGAGGAAAAAAGCAAAGGUUUUUCUCCAUUCCCAGCCAAGAAGCAACACCUCUCCUGUGCCAGUUCAUCUCUGAUUUAAUCUCAUUCCUGGCCACAAUGGAUAAAAGACAGAGGUCAGACUUUCAGAGACAUCUCCUAAGCCUUACUCAACUAUGGGGGAAAACCAGCACCUACCAUUAUCUUGGAAGACUUGAACCAAAGAUUUUUAUGUCAGUGGGAAGAUUCCUGCUGAUCCUAGGGCUCUUUGGGCUGAUCCUCCAUGUAAAGCAUGGAGCAAUUUGGUCACAGUUGUUGUUUGGAAAAUGGAAUGUGGUAUUUUGCAUCUGCUUCUGUUCUAUGCUACACCCCACACAGAACACAUUGCAGUAGUUAGCUAAUAUUUACUGGGGGUGUAUCACAGCAACUAGUGUCACGCUGGAAAGAACAGGCAAAGCAGAAGUAGAUAGAAACUGGCUUUUCUCCUACACAGAUGCCCCACAGCAAUGAGUCCGGUAAGACAUGAAAGAAAGGCACUAUCAGUCAAAAAGGAAAGGUGUAACUGCAUUAGUCAUCUGUACCUCCUUCUCUUCCUCUCUUCGCUAACUCACAGAUGAUGCUAGGUUACCAGAAGGCUGGUCUUCUACCACCACCAUUACAUGUUACUACACAUCAUUAUACUCCAACCACAUUUGAAAUAGUAGUCUCCUGCAUGAAGCCCGGCCACCCAAACAAUUAAAUAGUCUUGCAUCAUCGAGUGUCAAACAAGCAAACGCCACUCUGCUAUUUACAAGUGCGCCUCAUACAGGUAGCACUUUUCUCCUUAUGCACAAUAUCCUGUCCUUACCACUCAUUAUUUAGUGUUAUUUAGGUCUCUUAAAAUCCUGCUUUCACCCACAUCACUACAGAUAAGUAACAUCCUCAUGCAACAUGUUGUUUGUGGCAACAACAGGCUACAGGUUUGCCCACCUGCGUAAAUAUUUGCACGUUCAAACCCUUCUGCUGUAAAUCUCUAAGAGCUGAUGUGCCAAUAAUUAUUCCAACUACACUGAUGCCUUCAGAAAGCAUGCCAUCUGAAUUAAUGGCUUCACAUUAAAGUGGUGGUGACG
ensembl:lncRNA